rnacentral:rRNA from 1 species
UGGGGAAUAUUGGACAAUGGGCGCAAGCCUGAUCCAGCAAUGCCGCGUGUGUGAAGAAGGCCUUCGGGUUGUAAAGCACUUUUAUCAGGAGCGAAACGCUGUCGGCUAAUACCCGGCGGAACUGACGGUACCUGAGGAAUAAGCACCGGCUAACUUCGUGCCAGCAGCCGCGGUAAUACGAAGGGUGCAAGCGUUAAUCGGAAUUACUGGGCGUAAAGCGUGCGUAGGCGGUUUCUUAAGUCUGCUGUGAAAUCCCCGGGCUCAACCUGGGAAUGGCAGUGGAUACUGGGAGGCUAGAGUGUGUCAGAGGGUGGUGGAAUUCCCGGUGUAGCGGUGAAAUGCGUAGAGAUCGGGAGGAACAUCAGUGGCGAAGGCGGCCACCUGGGACAACACUGACGCUGAGGCACGAAAGCGUGGGGAGCAAACAGGAUUAGAUACCCUGGUAGUCCACGCCCUAAAAGCGAUGCGAACUGGAUGUUGGUCUCAACUCGGAGAUCAGUGUCGAAGCUAACGCGUUAAGUUCGCCGCCU